GUUCCAUCCUUUCAGAUACUUUUAAAGUCAGGUUUUGAGACCAUCAUUGAUUUGUCUUCGAAGAAUUUCAGGAAGGUUUCUGUUUUAUAUAAUAAAUAAUGGGUUUAUAGAAUAAACAUUUCCAUGUCUUUGAAAAUACAUUCUCCCACAAAGUUUAUUAAUAGCUAUUAUUAAUAGCCUUAAUGUAUUUUAAAAUUUUUUAUGCAGUGAUUUUUGAAGUACUUAUUAUUUUGAUAUAAGUAUAGAAACUUUAAAUAUGUAGUUACCACUGAUGUAACUAGAAUAUCCUCAAGCCGAAUCUGGUGCAUUUACACCUCAUUAACAAAGUAAAAAUACCAAUAGCUGAUAUUUAAAUUUUCACUGUGUUCUAUUCUGUAUCUCACUAUUUCAUUUGUUCCUCACAAAAAUUCUACAAGAGAUGCCUGUUGCCACCUGUUGAUCAUUAAUCUGAGACUCAGAUGUUAACAGGAUUAAACUGGGAUUUGGCUGCUAACACGGUUUGCCAAGGUACAACCAGAGAGGUACAGACGUGUGAUUUUUCUCUAGGUCACAUGUACUUCAGAAUCUGAGUCCCCGCUUCCCAUGCACUGUUUUGUCUGCAUGAAUGGGUUGAGCAUAUAGCAUUUUGUAAAAAGACUGUGGUCUUGGGAUGUCCAAGAUAUUUAAGUAACAGUGGGGUAGGUAAUUUGUACCAACGCUGUUGCUGAGGACAGCAGUACCCAAUAUUACCAUCAACAUCAAUGUGAAAAUGCUGAAAAACGAUUAGCAAACUUAAUCCAGCAAUAUGACAAGACUGAUGUAUCAUGACUAAGUUACAUACGUAUGUCUUGUCCCACAAUGAAAUAAGUUUUUAAAAAAAUGAUGAGCUUGAAUUAAAACCUGAAUUUAAAGCCGGACUCCACAACUUACUUGUUAUAUCUCCUUGCGCAAAUUAUAUUACCCAUUUAAGUCUUGUUUGUAUCAUCUCUAUAGGAGACAGUAGCACUGCCUCCAAGUACAAUUGUGGAAACGAAAUGAAGUAGUUCUCGGAAAGCACUUGAGUAGCCCCGGGAAAUAGCCCUUUCCUUCUGCAGCCACUUCAUUACUGGGAGAAAUAUAGGAGGCUCAGGGUCAAGUUUAUGUCCCAGCCAUUGUAUUUUCUUUUAAAUUCUCUUUGCAUUUAGAAACUAUUGAUUGUUAGGAACUCAGUCCUUUCCUACCCAGAACUUUUCAUUCGGUUCUCCAUGUGACUGCCAGGGACAGCUUCUGUGACCGUGAAGCUGGGUCCUUCUUAGGAGGAUAAAGGUGAAGCAGCCAAAUGAAUGUUAACAUCUGGCCUCCUGCAUCAUCAGCUAGUAGAUAUCUCAAUGGCUCCAUCUUUUACUCCCAUUUUAAGGCUGAUUAUUUCAAUUAGCAAGAACAAGAUUGCCUGUUUGUGUAUUUAUCAAAUGUCUAAAGUACUACUCUGAGCCUAGAGAUAAGUCAGAAAGUACUACAAUCAAACACAAAAAUCCCUGCUGCUGAAAUUUUUGUGGGGAAAGACAGAUAAUAAAAUACACAUAAUAAGUAAAGCUAGAAUGUUUAUUUUUCUGUACCUGCCCUAAUCCUGACGUAAUAUUUAAGAUUGAUCAUUGUCAAAUAAAUAUUAAAUGUGAAAGCAGCCCCCAAUUUAGCAUAGAUCUGUUGCCACCUAUAAAAUACUUGCAUGUGCUCAGGCUCCCCGCCCACAGACCCCCGGAGGCCAGGGGCGCACGUGACUCUCGUCCCCUGUGUGAGGGGUGUGCCUCCCGCAGCCCAGGGCUCGGAAGGGGGACGCCCCGGGCUCGGGGCCACUGCUCUCGCUUUCUCGUUGUCGCAGACACCCUCCCAGGGGGCAUCCCACAACCGGCGCAAUGAGUGCCAAUGAGGACCAAGAGAUGGAACUGGAAGCUCUACGUUCUGUUUAUGAAGGAGAUGAAAGCUUCCGGGAAUUAAGUCCAGUGUCAUUUCAAUACAGGAUAGGUGAAAAUGGUGAUCCCAAAGCCUUCUUAAUAGAGAUUUCCUGGACAGAAACAUACCCCAAACACUUCCAAUUAUAUCUAUGAACGCUUUUUUGAACAACACCAUAUCAUCUGCUGUAAAGCAAAGCAUAUUAGCCAAGUUACAGGAAGAAGUGGAGGUCAAUCUCGGGACUGCCAUGACCUACACAUUGUUUGAAAAUGCCAAGGACAGUAAGGAGCAGUUCAUGAGAAUCACCAGCCCAUGAAUUCUAUGAUACCCAUAAGCAGUUAUCAUCUCCGUUGAAACCCCUAAUACAGCCCUACCAAGUAAGAAAAAAGAACAGCUUUCAAAAACCCAGAAACGUAAGCUGGCAGAUAAAACAGAUCACAAAGGAGAACUGCCUCGAGGGUGGAACUGGGUUGAUGUGGUGAAGCAUUUAAGCAAACUGGCUCUAAAGAUGAUGAAUAGUACUUGGAAUUGAAGACAAGGGAAGAACAUCCUUUAAAAAGUAAACUGGGUUCAA